rnacentral:misc_RNA from 1 species
AACGCACAUUGCGCUCUCUGGUAUUCCGGAGAGCAUGCUUGUUUGAGUAUCAGUAAAACACCCUCAGAUUUUUCUCUUUUGAAAAAGCUGGACUUGAGUGAUCCCAACGGUUUUUUUUAAAAAAAGCUGGCGGGUUGCUUGAAAUGCAGGUGCGGCUGGACACAUCUUCUGAGCUAUAAGCAUUACCUAUUUAGUCCCGUCAAACGGAUUAUUUCUAUUGCUACAGCUAAUAUAAAGGUCGAUUGUCCUUGUGCCCGACUGAUGCAGGAAAACAUGGAGAAAUCCUUGUUCAACUCGAUCUCAAAUCAAGUAAGACUACCCGCUGAACUUAA